UACGAGGGGGGCAAGCGUUGUUCGGAAUUAUCGGGCGUAAAGGGUGCGUAGGCGGUUUUGUAAGUCUUGUGUGAAAUCUUCAGGCUCAACUUGAAGACUGCACGAGAAACUGCAGGGCUUGAGUGUGGGAGAGGUGAGUGGAAUUCCUGGUGUAGCGGUGAAAUGCGUAGAUAUCAGGAGGAACACCUGUGGCGAAAGCGGCUCACUGGACCACAACUGACGCUGAUGCACGAAAGCUAGGGGAGCAAACAGG
rnacentral:rRNA from 1 species